rnacentral:rRNA from 1 species
AUGAAGGACCUUGGAGAAGCUGCUUACAUAUUAGGCAUCAAGAUCUAUAGAGAUAGAUCGAGACGCCUCAUAGGUCUUUCACAAAGCACAUACCUUGAUAAGAUAUUGAAGAAGUUCAAUAUGGAUCAGUCCAAGAAGGGGUUCUUGCCUGUGUUGCAAGGGGUGAAAUUGAGCUCGGCUCAAUGCCCGACCACGACAGAAGAUAGAGAAAAGAUGAGUGUUAUCCCCUAUGCCUCGGCCAUAGGGUCUAUUAUGUAUGCCAUGCUGUGUACCAGACCUGAUGUAAACCUUGUCGUAAGUUUGGUAGCAAGAUACCAAAGUAAUCCUGGCAUGGAACACUGGACAACAGUCAAGAAUAUUCUGAAGUACUUGAAAAGGACUAAGGAUAUGUUUCUCGUUUAUGGAGGUGAUGAAGAGCUCGUCGUAAAGGGUUACGUCGAUGCUAGCUUCAACACAGAUCUGGAUGACUCCAAGUCACAAACCGGAUACAUGUAUAUUUUGAAUGGUGGGGUAGUAAGCUGGUGUAGUAGCAAACAAAGCGUCGUAGCGGGAUGUACAUGUGAAGUGGAGUACAUGGCAGCCUCAGAGGCAGCGCAUGAAGCAAUCUGGAUGAAGGAGUUCAUUACCGACCUAGGAGUUAUUCCCAAUGCAUCGGGCCCGAUGACCCUCUUCUGUGACAACACUGGAGCUAUUGCCCUUGCCAAGGAGCCCAGGUUUCACAAGAAUUCCAGGCACAUCAAGCGUCGCUUCAACUCCAUUCAUGAAAAUGUUCAAGAUGGAGACAUAGAUAUUUUCAAAGUGCAUACGGAUCUGAAUGUCGCAGAUCCGUUGACCAAACCUCUUCCGCGAGCAAAACAUGAUCAACACCAGAACUCUAUGGGUGUUCGAUUCAUCACAGUGUAA